CCCAUUCUGGCGGUCGCUAGAGACAGGUUUGACUGUAGUUUGUAUUUGCACAAUACUCUAUCUUUUCAUGCUGUUUGGUUCAGGCUUACAUCACUAUCUACAAGGGAGACGUUUUACCUGAACCUAAGACUAUACUACAGGCGACAGCAGAGGCCAAUAACUUAGCUGCAGUAGCAAGUGCUUUGGACAAAUACACUAAGGAUAUGGAACAGGUAUGUGGAGGUGACAAGCCAUACCUGAGUCCAGAUGAGCUAAAGAAGAAACACAAUCAAGUUGAGGAAGCAGCCAUUAAUCAAUUCAGAAAAGUACGCAAGAUGGGAGGAAGGCAGUACAGCCAUCAA